GGGCUCCAAGGGGAUACCCUGGGGGCUUGGCGUAGCCAGUCACUGCGCGCGCCCAGCGCUCUCUCCUGCUGCUGCAGUCGCACGGUGAGGAGCUUCGCUUCGUGGAGAACGGCUGCCACGACAAUCCCACGCUGGACGUGGCCAGCGACAGCCAGUCGGAGAUGCAGGAGAAGCAGCCCAGCCUGAACGGUGGGGCCAUCAACGGCCCGAGCAGCUGGAGCGCGCUCAUGGGCAGCAAGCGCGACCCUGAGGACUCUGACGUGUUCGAGGAGGACACUCACCUGUGAGCGCCGGGCCACGGGCGCGAGACUGCCAGACGCUACGGCCCCGCGCCCCUCCCGUCCCUCCACGCGGGUCACUACGCUUCCCCACCGCAGCAGGCGACCGAGGCGCAGCUCCCACCCCGCCCCGCCCGGCCCCGAGCGCUUGCCCGAGGCCAGCGCGCUCCCCGCGCCCGGACUCCAUUAAAGCCGCCAACACGCGCGGGCC
rnacentral:lncRNA from 1 species